rnacentral:rRNA from 1 species
GAUGAACGCUGGCGGCAUGCCUAAUACAUGCAAGUCGCGCGAGAAACUACUUUCGGGUAGUGGAAAGCGGCGGACGGGUGAGUAAUGUCUGGGAAACUGCCUGAUGGAGGGGGAUAACUACUGGAAACGGUAGCUAAUACCGCAUAACGUCGCAAGACCAAAGAGGGGGACCUUCGGGCCUCUAGCCAUCGGAUGUGCCCAGAUGGGAUUAGCUUGUUGGUGGGGUAACGGCUCACCAAGGCGACGAUCCCUAGCUGGUCUGAGAGGAUGACCAGCCACACUGGAACUGAGACACGGUCCGGACUCCUACGGGAGGCAGCAGUAGGGAAUUUUCCACAAUGGGCGAAAGCCUGAUGGAGCAAUGCCGCGUGAUGGAAGACGGUUUUCGGAUUGUAAACAUCUGUUGUAAGGGAAGAAUGUUCAAAAUAGGAAAUGAUUUUGAAAGAGACGGUACCUUGCCAGAAAGCACCGGCUAACUACGUGCCAGCCGCCGCCGUAA